AUACGUAGGGAGCGAGCGUUGUCCGGAUUUACUGGAUGUAAAGGGUGCGUAGGCGGCUCUGCAAGUCAGGUGUGAAAACCAUCGGCUUAACUGAUGGACUGCAUUUGAAACUGUGGGGCUUGAGUGGAGUAGAGGCAGACGGAAUUCCCGGUGUAGCGGUGAAAUGCGUAGAGAUCGGGAAGAACACCAGUGGCGAAGGCGGUUUGCUGGGCUCUAACUGACGCUGAGGCACGAAGGCAUGGGUAGCAAACAGGAUUAGAUACCCUGGUAGUCCAUGCCGUAAACGAUGAUUACUAGGUGUGGGGAGUCUGACCCUCUCUGUGCCGGAGUUAACACAAUAAGUAAUCCACCUGGGAAGUACGACCGCAAGGUUAAA
rnacentral:rRNA from 1 species